AAUGAAUUGCCUGAUAAAAGGAUUAUCUUGAUAGGGUAAAUUAUAUAAUUUUUACAAUUAUCUUCAUUA
rnacentral:tRNA from 1 species